UACCAUGGCUAGGUUGUCAAGAUGCAGAUGUUGAUGCAAUUAAUGCUUUGAGGAGGAUGUCUGGAAUGGUGGUUGUGUAGUGCAGUGGACAGCAGGGGAUGAGUUUUCUUGUUUUCUUUGGCAGAGGCAAUUGUUCCAAACCGGAGGUGGUCUAGGUGGUGGUAAUGGAGGUGGCAUUGCUACCAAGGUCGUAUGCCUGAUAGAGGUGGUUACUGCAGAUGAGCUUAAAGAUGAUGAAGAGUAUGAAGAUAUUUUGGAAGAUAUGAGGGUAGAAGGUGGAAAAUUUGGUACAUUGAUGAAUAUUGUCAUCCCCCGUCCACAACCUAACGGUGAACCCUCUCUAGGACUUGGAAAGGUUAGUUUCAGUGUAAGGUAUUGUUAAAUGACACUCUUAGGUUGACUGUUACUUUGUAUUAUAAAAUUUUGACUGUUACUUUGUAUUGCUAAAUGACACUCUUCUCCUGUAGGCUUUCGUUGAGAACUACGACACUUCAUGUAUAAGCCAGUGCCUCUACGGUAUCAUCUACCACUAUGUUUCUCAUAAUCGGUGUUAGGUUUACCAAGAAGAGAGUGUGCAGCAAAAAUGGAUCAUUUCCAUUUAGCAAUGUAACCCAGACUACCAUACUGGAACGUGUAUGCUACUGUCAUAUUUGUAGGGAAGGCCAAUAUCUGUGUUUUACGAUUUAUAUGAUAUUUUUAGUCAUGUUCAAAGAAUCUAUCAUUUUAUUUUCUUUCGUUGCGCAACACACUUUCAUACAAGGUGAUUUGAAGUUAGCUAGGUAAUGCAAUUGGAGUGGUAGGUUAACUUGAAUGAAUGUAAAUGUGCUACACUGGCAUGUUAAUGUGAAUGUGAAAUACUUUCGGCAAUUCAUGCAAUUCGGUUUCAGCUAUAA